GUAACAGCCCUCCAUUCAUACCUCUCGCUAAUUACAAAAAGGGUGGUGCUUGAAUCCCAGCCAAAUUCCAGCACAGCCCACACCUGGCUAGAAUCAUGCUUUAUUUCUGGCUGUGGAGAGCAGGGAUUCCUCUGUAACCCUGUCCCUUUCUGGGGUAGGGGUCUCAGCUCUCCCCCUACAGCACCUGAACCUCCCCAAGAAGGAGGUGAAGGUUGGGGUAGGAGCAGUUUCCUGGUGUCCCACAGCAUCCUGGAGGGGUUUUCCUUGGUGUUGAUGGAGCCAGGAACGUCCUGGGAAGCAGAGACAACUCCACACCACUGCUAUCUUUCCAGACAGCAGAGCCAGCCCGGGACCUGCAGCACGUGCACAUUUACACCUUGUCCUCAUCCCAGCUCCUCUGCCCGAGGUAAAUGCAGAAAAGGGAGGUGAUAAUGGAGCUCCUGAUUACCCAGACUAGGGUGAGCGAAGACAGGAAUGCUGGCGAGAAGCUUCCCCCACCCCCCUCUUCCAAAUCAUAUAUUUUUCAAGUUCACAUCAAUUACUUCUGUUUCCAACUGGAUAAAUUUGAAUGAGACACCCUUCUGUAAUCUGCUGACAAGACAGUGAAGCAUUUUUUGUUAGCACCUCCUGAUGCCAUCUAAAUUGGGUGUUUGCAGGGAAGAAAUGUAGCGUGCAGUUAGGAAAGAUGAAAAAGCAGAGGAAGGAGAGGAAGGGGAGAUGUUAUUUGGAGCCUGUGUUAAGGGGGGAGUGCUGGGCUCUCGUGCAGGGAGCACGAGGCUACAGCUGAAUGAUGUGUAGAGGUGAAACCAAAGGGUCUGUGGGUUGUCUGGCUCCUUCUGGUGAAAUUUCUCUGAGGAUUGGAAGGGCCAAAGGGAAUAUUCUUGCUAACAGGAGUGGUAGAACUGUCUGCACCCUCUGCUCUGGGUACCACAAACUGAAUAAGCACCAUAAAUGUGGUACAGUCAAAAUACACCUGAAUUUAGGCAGGUGCUCAUCAAGAGUUCUCUUCUUAGCCUAAAUUCAUAAUAGAUAAGAGAGGAAAAAAAAUGCUGAAUCCAAACUGUUGGAGGCUGCAUCCUUAACUUUCUGCCGAGGAUGGCUGUGCCUCACUUAGCCUGGGGAGCUGCUUUGGCAGUGGGUGUGCUUGUAAUGUGUUUUCAGUGCUUUUCUCCAAAAAAGAUGCAGAACUGCCUGUGAUGGAUGUGGAAUAGGGAGGGAGAGGGAGAUGGUCCAGGGAGCUGUGCAGGGCAUCUGCCACCUCACUGAGCAUCUCCGUGGUGGAGAUGACACCUCUGGGAGCAGGAGAAGAGAAAAGGUGAAGCUAAAAUCAUGGCACAGUGUUGCUACAACAACCUCUCUCUGCAGCAGAGAUUUGCCAUAGCAAUAAACUUUAACAAGAGGGAUUUGGGAUUGGUGUGUUCCUCGUAAAUCCUCUCAGGCCGGCUGUUUGCUGCCAAGGCUUUGGGGAGGGUGAGUGAUAACAGAUCUCCCUUGGUCUCAGGGAGCAGCUGGAGAGAUCCCAUUGCUGAGGAGGUACAAUAAAUGGAAUUGAUUUGUGCUAACUAAAUUAUAACUAUUUGGAAAGUUAUGAUUAGAAGCAAUCAAAAGAGUCAGUGUUACAAGGCAGAUGUACCCCUUUACAGAUGUUACAUGUUAAAAUUGAGGUACACGAUGUAGUUUUGAGAUAAGUGAUGUCCCAAGAUGAGAUCAACCUUGAGAUGGACAAAGUUGGAACGACUUUAGGCAUAGGGCCUGAAAAUUAUAAAAUGUAAGACUAAUUAGUGGACUUAGCAUAGUACAGUGCUUAGUAUGCACACACAAACCUGUGAGGCCAUCCAGAGGACAGUGAGGAUGAGUGUAAGCCUUCGUCCAAAGACCACCAAAAGAAGACUGAAGACCCCCUAACAACAAGUGAAGCAUGCACCAUGAAGAAAUGUGACAUAAAGUCAAAAAAAUCGGAAAUAGGAGGAAACUUGUGGGAAACAUUAAUAAAUAUGUAUAAGCAUACAGUAUAUAAGUUUAAUUUGAAUUGUUUUGUUUUGUACAUGAGGCAGGGUGGGAAGCCCUCUCUGGACCC